CCUGCUUCGCCUCCUCGGUGUCGGACGCCGGCCACUCUCAGGGUGGGGAGGAGUCCUCAGCUUCGGAGGAAAGCUCGGGCAAUAAAGAAAAUGCUGGGAGUCACACAUAGUAUCUAGAAGCUUAGUUGCCUCCCAGCAACCACGCUCUCAAGUGCUGGCUCCUGCAUGCCUACACAUCCGAGGGUGAUGUGGUUAUGCUAGAGUCCAUAGACCAGUUACGCGCCUGCCUCCAAACCAUUGCUCCCGAGAUCCCGAUGGACCUGCUGCCCUCUGAUAUGGCGUGGCACUCCUUCGAUUCACCUCCUACGUUCAUCACUUCAUUCCCCUGGCCUUCGAAGGAGCUUCGGCGACGAAAUACCUUUGAAGCAAGGCACGGAGAAAGACGAAGAUGUUAACUUCGUCAUAACAACACAAGGAGACAAAGGCAGAAUAUCAACGUACCAGGGAGAAGGCGUCAUCCAUAAUGCUAAAGGCACAAAACAAUAUUGCCCUCACAUCAUUUGUAAAUCAUACGUACUGGUUUUACAGAUAUAUUUGUAAUUUUGCACGAAGCUAUAUGUUCCCCUAUAAAUAGAUAAACAAUGUCCUGCAUAAAGUACCUCUUGGUGGGCUAGAUAAUUGCCUCUUGUAAUCUCUUCCCUAGAGCACCUUCGCUCUAACUCACUUUGUAGAACCGAAGGUACGAUUGUAAAUUUAUUAUAUGAAAGGAGAUAAAUGAGAUAUUGAGAUAUCUGAGAUGA